CUUCUCUAACGCUGCCCAUCAGAGGACAGCCGUUUCUCUGCUGCUUCUUCUCUCGCCCUGCUCCAUCCCGACCAGCGCCACUGCCGCCCCUUUUCUCUCGUCUACGGGCGAGCCGUCACCGGUGAGGUGAGACGUCGUCUCCCGGCCAGGACAUAGCGGCAGAGAGGAGCAAGGAAGCAGCAGGGGAAGUCCAAUUGAAAAAGUUAGUGGCGCUACAGAUUUCUUGCUCCAUUGGUCGACGGGGGAUGCGGUUUUCGUUGGUGGUGGUAGGAGGGGAACAUGCGUGGCGGUGACGGGAGGACAUCAGAAGAAGAGGAGGAUAGGGAACAGGGAAGGAGGCCAAGCGGGGGAGGAGAGACAUGAAGCAUUCAUUUGCUGCCGUUUCUCCACGUAAUCUGAUUCUCCGUCAUGUUUGCCGGGCACUUCUAUUAUCUCCACCCCGUCCCACUGAGGUGCCUCCAUCGCUAUCAAUCUCACAUCGAGAUGUCGACGGCAAUUCCAUCAUACCCGGUGUGAAGAAAUAAGUGCGGACAAUCUAAUACCAAAGGACUUGGCCCUCAAAAUUGCAACCAAGAUUAGAGCUGGCGAACGAUUUGCAGUUUAUGUAGUCAUACCAAUGUGUCCUGAAGGAAUCCCUACCUCAGCCUCUGAGCAAGAUUUUUUUCUUUUAGGCACAUUCGGGCAUGAUGGGAUUCUGGUCCACUCUUCUGGAAGACCCUCCUGGUGAACGAGCGUGGCGUCCUCAUGGAGAGCCUGCAAAUGGGGGAAUUUUACUACCUAAUUCUUGGCUUCUUGUGCUGCAUCCAACAAGAUGAAUGAUUCUAAUGAACAAGUGGGGGAAUGCUACUUCAAGUUGAUUGGUUCAUCUUCUAUUUCAUUGCAAAAUCAACAUAACUAUUUACUUGUUCCUGUGUUUGUAGGUACUCAUAUCGAUCUAAUUAAUCAGCUCCAUAUCUAGCCGGUUAGAAGAAUGAGGGUUUCUGUAUAUGUAUGAAAGGAAACCAAGGAAGCUUGCAUUUCUGAUCAAGCUUCAAUGAGUGCUAGUGUUCUUGCUUUCCAUGUUGAUGUAUGUUACCUCUGGAUGAAUCGUCUUCCUGCUGAGAGUUUCCUCUUUCAGUGUUGGAGAUGUUGUAGCAGCUUACAAUUACUAGGAGAA